rnacentral:rRNA from 1 species
AACGUAGGAGACAAACGUUAUCCGGAGUUACUGGGCGUAAAGGGCGUGUAGGUGGUUGUGUAAGUUCGGCGUGAAAUCUCUCGGCUUAACCGGGAGUGGUCGUCGGAUACUGCACGACUAGAGGACGGUAGAGGCGUGUGGAAUUCCGGGGUGUAGUGGUGAAAUGCGUAGAGAUCCGGAGGAACACCAGUGGCGAAGGCGACACGCUGGGCCGUACCUGACACUGAGGCGCGAUAGCAUGGGGGAGCAAACAGG